rnacentral:rRNA from 1 species
GAUGAACGCUGGCGGCGUGCCUAAUACAUGCCAGUCGAGCGAACAGACGAGGAGCUUGCUCCUCUGACGUUAGCGGCGGACGGGUGAGUAACACGUGGAUAACCUACCUAUAAGACUGGGAUAACUUCGGGAAACCGGAGCUAAUACCGGAUAAUAUAUUGAACCGCAUGGUUCAAUAGUGAAAGACGGUUUUGCUGUCACUUAUAGAUGGAUCCGCGCCGCAUUAGCUAGUUAGUAAGGUAACGGCUUACCAAGGCAACGAUGCGUAGCCGACCUGAGAGGGUGAUCGGCCACACUGGAACUAAGACACGGUCCAGACUCCUACGGGAGGCAGCAGUAGGGAAUCUUCCGCAAUGGGCGAAAGCUUGACGGAGCAACGCCGCGUGAGUGAUGAAGGUCUUCGGAUCGUAAAACUCUGUUAUUAGGGAAGAACAAAUGUGUAAGUAACUAUGCACGUCUUGACGGUACCUAAUCAGAAAGCCACGGCUAACUACGUG